UCCGUGUUCACCACGGCAGUCUCCUUAGAGAGCCCAACUGAAUGCUGGCAACUAAGGACAAGGGUUGCGCUCGUUGCGGGACUUAACCCAACAUGUCACCACACGAGCUGACGACAGCCAUGCAGCACCUGUCUCUCGGUCGUAUUGCUACGAAAGCCUGAUCUCUCAGGUUGUCCGAGGAUGUCAAAUCCAGGUAAGGUUCUUCGCGUUGCUUCGAAUUAAACCACAUGAUCCACCGCUUGUGCGGGCCCCCGUCAAUUCCUUUGAGUUUUAGUCUUGCGACCGUACUUCCCAGGCGGGGUACUUAUUGCGUUAGCUGCGGUUCGGCAGGGGUCAAGACCCGCCAAACCUAGUACCCAUCGUUUACAGCGUGGACUAC
rnacentral:misc_RNA from 1 species